rnacentral:tRNA from 1 species
GGCUAGGUAGCUUAGUUGGUAAAGCACUUGUCUAGCGAAUAUCAGUAGGUCGGCUCUAGAGGCACGUUCUCCUCCAUUUGGGAAAUUUGUGCCAUAAUGUCUAGCGAAUAAGGGUCGUGAGCUCAAAUCUCACCUGAGCUG